AAUCAACGCUGGCGGCGUGCCUAACACAUGCAAGUCGAACGAGAAAAUGGAGCAAUCCAUGAGUAAAGUGGCGCACGGGUGAGUAACACGUGGAUGAUCUACCUUCUAGUGGGGAAUAACCCUGGGAAACCGGGGCUAAUACCGCAUAAGUCCGAGAGGAGAAAGCCGAAAGGCGCUGGAAGAGGAGUCCGCGGUCGAUUAGCUAGUUGGCGGGGUAAAAGCCCACCAAGGCUGCGAUCGAUAGCCGGCCUGAGAGGGCACACGGCCACACUGGCAC
rnacentral:rRNA from 1 species